CCAAUAGCGUAUAUUAAAGUUGUUGCAGUUAAAAAGCUCGUAGUUGAAUUUCGGGGUUAGUAGGUUGGUCGUGCCUAUGGUAUGUACUGGCUUUACUGAUUCCUCCUUCUUGAAGAACUGUAAUGUCAUUAAUUUGGUGUUGCAGGGACACAGGACUGUUACUUUGAAAAAAUUAGAGUGUUUAAAGCAGGCUAACGCUUGAAUACAUUAGCAUGGAAUAAUGAAAUAGGACGUUUGAUCCUAUUUUGUUGGUUUCUAGGAUUGACGUAAUGGUUAAUAGGGAUAGUUGGGGGCAUUAGUAUUCAAUUGUCAGAGGUGAAAUUCUUGGAUUUAUUGAAGACUAACUACUGCGAAAGCAUUUGCCAAGGAUGUUUUCAUUAAUCAAGAACGAAAGUUAGGGGAUCGAAGACGAUCAGAUACCGUCGUAGUCUUAACCAUAAACUAUGCCGACUAGGGAUCGGAUGAUGUUAAUUUUUUAAUGACUCAUUCGGCGCCUUACG
rnacentral:rRNA from 1 species